UGAAAGCUUUUGAUGGGUCGCGUAAAACUGUGAUUGGGGAAGUUGAUCUCCCAGUCAAAAUUGGACCAAGCGAUUUCCAGAUCACCUUCCAGGUUAUGGACAUCCACCUGUAAGACCCCAAUUUUUGCCCUAAGAUCCCUCAUGGCCUCAAGGCAACAUAUCAUAUCAAUCAUUGCCUCAAGGAUCAUUGUGCACCUUUGCUUGCCUCCUAGUGGAUGGGUAUCUUGUGAGUGUGGUUCUUGAUCACCAAGCAUGUAUUGCAUUUGUAUAUCAUUGCU
rnacentral:lncRNA from 1 species